UACGUAGGGUGCGAGCGUUUAAUCGGAAUUACUGGGCGUAAAGCGUGCGCAGGCGGUUCGUUAUGUCCGAUGUGAAAGCCCCGAGCUUAACUUGGGAAUGGCAUUGGAAACUGGCGGGCUGGAGUGCGGCAGAGGGGGGUGGAAUUCCACGUGUAGCAGUGAAAUGCGUAGAGAUGUGGAGGAACACCGAUGGCGAAGGCAGCCCCCUGGGCCGACACUGACGCUCAGGCACGAAAGCGUGGGGAGCAAACAGG
rnacentral:rRNA from 1 species